rnacentral:rRNA from 1 species
CCUACGGGAGGCAGCAGUGAGGAAUAUUGGUCAAUGGCCGCAGGGCUGAACCAGCCAAGUCGCGUGAAGGAUGACGGCCCUAUGGGUUGUAAACUUCUUUUGUACGGGAGUAAAGGGCGCUACGUGUAGCGUUUUGCAAGUACCUGAAGAAUAAGGAUCGGCUAACUCCGUGCCAGCAGCCGCGGUAAUACGGAGGAUGCGAGCGUUAUCCGGAUUUAUUGGGUUUAAAGGGUGCGUAGGCGGACUGUUAAGUCAGCGGUGAAAUUUUGAGGCUCAACCUUGGAAUUGCAGUUGAUACUGGCGUGCUUGAGAGAAGUAGAGGUAGGCGGAAUGCGUGGUGUAGCGGUGAAAUGCUUAGAUAUCACGCAGAACUCCGAUUGCGAAGGCAGCAUACCGGGCUUCAACUGACGCUGAUGCACGAAAGCGUGGGUAUCAAACAGGAUUAGAUACCCCUGUAGUC